rnacentral:rRNA from 1 species
AGCGAACGCUGGCGGCAGGCCUAACACAUGCAAGUCGAACGAACUCUUCGGAGUUAGUGGCGGACGGGUGAGUAACACGUGGGAACGUGCCUUUAGGUUCGGAAUAACUCAGGGAAACUUGUGCUAAUACCGAAUGUGCCCUUCGGGGGAAAGAUUUAUCGCCUUUAGAGCGGCCCGCGUCUGAUUAGCUAGUUGGUGAGGUAACGGCUCACCAAGGCGACGAUCAGUAGUUGGUCUGAGAGGAUGGCCAGCCACACUGGGACUGAGACGCGGCCCAGACUCCUACGGGAGGCAGCAGUGGGGAAUCUUGCGCAAUGGGCGAAAGCCUGACGCAGCCAUGCCGCGUGAAUGAUGAAGGUCUUAGGAUUGUAAAAUUCUUUCACCGGGGACGAUAAUGACGGUACCCGGAGAAGAAGCCCCGGCUAACUUCGUGCCAGCAGCCGCCGUAA